GACGAACGCUGGCGGCGGGCCUAAUACAUGCAAGUAGAACGCUGAAGGAGGAGCUUGCUUCUCUUGAUGAGUUGCGAACGGGUGAGUAACGCGUAGGUAACCUGCCUUGUAUCUGGGUAUAACUAUUUGAAACGAUAGCUAAUACCACAUAAUAUCAGUUGUUGCAUUAUAACUGUUUGAAAUUUGCACUUUCCCCACUACCAGAUGGACCUGCGUUGUAUUAGCUAGUUGGUGGGGUAACGGCUCACCAAGGCGAAGAUACAUAGCCGACCUGAGAGGGUGAUAGGCCAACAUGGGAACGAGAACAGGCCCAGAAUCCUAAGGGAGGCAGCAGUAGGGAAUCUUUGGAAAUAGACGGAAGUCUGACCGCGCAAAGCCGCGGGAGUGAAGAAGGUUUUCGGAUCGUAAAGCUCUGUUGUAAGAGAAGAACGAGUGUGAGAGUGGAAAGUUCACACUGUGACGGUAUCUUACCAGAAAGGGACGGCUAACUACGUG
rnacentral:rRNA from 1 species